rnacentral:rRNA from 1 species
UGGGGAAUCUUGCACAAUGGGGGCAACCCUGAUGCAGCGACGCCGCGUGAGCGAUGAAGCCCUUCGGGGUGUAAAGCUCUUUCGGCCGGAACGAUAAUGACGGUACCGGAGGAAGAAGCUGCGGCUAACUACGUGCCAGCAGCCGCGGUAAUACGUAGGCAGCAAGCGUUGUUCGGAGUUACUGGGCGUAAAGAGUGCGUAGGCGGUGACCUAAGUUCGUUGUGAAAUCUCCCGGCUUAACUGGGAGGGUGCGGCGAAGACUGGGUUGCUCCGAGUGUGGGAAAGGCAAGCGGAAUUCCUGGUGUAGCGGUGAAAUGCGUAGAUAUCAGGAGGAACACCGGCGGUGUAGACGGCUUGCUAGACCAUAACUGACGCUGAGGCACGAAAGCGUGGGUAGCAAACAGGAUUAGAUACCCGCGUAGUCC